GGAAGAGGAACAAGCAGGGGUGGGAGGCUUCAGUGUCUCUGAAUGCACGAGAAGCCUGCAUGUAAGUGAGUUUUUUAUGGCCAUCAGGUGCUGGGUGACAUCUGGAUUGAUGUGGGAUGAAAGAGAGGUGCCUGGAGGCUGGGAAUCACCAAGAGGAAUGGAACCACCGUCUUGCAGAAUGUUCCACAGAACAAAUGGACCUGUGUGCUAGUCCUCAACCAACUCUACAUCUGUAGAUUCUACACCUUGACCACAGUUACCACCAAUUUGGAUUUGGCUUUGCAUUUUGUUUCCCCUCUGCAAAGGGCUGCAGAAAUGCCAACAAACCAAUGGACCUGAUCUUGGAUGAGGCCAAAGUCUGGAACAGAAGAUCCUGAUUCACUUAAUUUCCCUGGGGAUUGGAAAGACUUCAUUGUUGAAAAUAGUUCUAAAAAGUACAUGGCCACAGAGAUGACUACCAAACAACCAAGCCAAUCAAGGAAGAGGCCAAUGCAGGAGAGAAGAGCUCCUAAGCUGCCCACCACAUUUGAAAAGCCGGAAUGAAGCUGCAAGGAUUAUACAAACGGAUUUGUGCUUUGGAACAGCAAGUUCUGAGGGCUGGAGACUCACAGAGCAGGAGGAAGUUCAUAGAUCAUCGCAUCCAGAGGUGUCAUUUUACAGAUGUAGAAACUGAGGACCAGGACCUGGGCAGCCACAGUCCAGGUGGAAGCAGGGCUAGGACUCCUGACUGCAACACCACAGCUCCCUGACACCUUUCAAAACACUCCAGUCAACUAAACUGCCC
rnacentral:lncRNA from 1 species